GAAUCAUCAGAUGAAAUUUUUGGUGUCACAACAAUUGGACUCCUCACGCUAUGCUUACCAUUAUCCUCAACCCAAAUAACUGCACCGUAUGUAACUUGGUUAUUUUCGUCAAUCUUAGUAUGUAUGGUGAGGGAAUAGCUUCGCUUUUCAUACUUUUUUCUGAAUACCAAUGUCUCCGGGAAGACGGUGACCACUGAACCCUCUGGUGGUGUCACUUUUGCCUUAUAUGUUGCUGCCCCAUCUCCAACAUUUGUGACAAUCCUUUUAAAGUUUUGAGUUGAUGCAUUAGUCCCGUAAGUAUACAAGGAAACAAAGGAAGGAUAGUUUAGAUCAGAUGAUGCCUUAGAACAAUUGUAACUGGAUCUUGUUAUGGUGCGAAUUUGCUUCCGAGUGUAAUUAAUUGAGCAGAGCAAUUCCAUGUAGUCUUGUGCUGUAGCGUCGUAUAUAAGGCCAGGAUCCAGUGCACUGUUCGGAUUGACUUGUCCUGCUCCCAUGGAUAGAGGUGAAGCAAUUGGGUUAUUGAAGCCAUUAAUCUCUCGGAUUGGAUUUCCAGUAUUGUCCAAGGGGUUUGCUGUUGUUACCAUUGAAGAGCGAAUAGCUGCUGGACUCCAAUCUGGGUGUGCGCCUUUAAGAAGCGCUGCAAUACCAGCACCGUGAGGACAAGCCAUGGAAGUACCGGAAAUAAGAUUGAAGUCAUCUGAGUUGGACAAGCCAAUGUUGGAGCCAAUGUUGGAUACUCUGUCAUCUGGUAUCCAGGCUGCUAAAACUAAUGUCCCUGGUGCCAUUAGAUCGGGUUUCAGGAUUCCUGGAUAGGUUGGUGAAGGACCAAGUCGGGUGUAUUCUGCAACCAUUGGUGCUGGCUUUGU
rnacentral:lncRNA from 1 species